rnacentral:lncRNA from 1 species
CUCCCAGACUCCAGUGACGUAGCUUCUGGUUUAAUGUGGAUCUCUGAGAAAACUGGCUCCAGGAAUUUUCAGUUGGCUGCAUUCUGCUUUCCGGGAAUUGGAAAGCAUUGCAGGUGCCGUGGAAUGCUCUCGGGCCGCCCGGGCCUGAGGGCCAAGCAGGCCAAGUUAGAUAUAAAAUGUAAACAACGCACUCUAAGUUGCCGGAACAAGGCCAAGCAGCGCCCCACCAGCCAGGGAGGAGAGCUGCUUGUGACAUGACCACCUGCCGGCCCCAGAGUCCCCUUGCCACCCCUGAAGGGCUACGAAUCCCAGAAGCACAGGUAACACAGCCACGCGACUCCCAGGUUGAUGCAGGGACAGAUGGUUGAGCGGCUUUCCACCUCUGCAGCUUUAGCUAAAUUAUGGAGGCUGAGAUAUGCAGAGAAACAUCUUCAGGAAAUACACACAGGAGGUGCAAUAAAACACUUCUGGGGCUAUGUGUGUUCUGUUUAUUUAGCAGUUUGUGAGGUGAAAAACACAUCAGAGUAAACCACUUUUCCUCCAG